CAGAGUCCGGCUCCCGUAGGAGUCCGGACGAAGCUUGCCGGUAGUCGAAGUUGGCGGUGGAGCCCGGCUCCCGUGGGAGUCCGGGCAGAGUUGUUCUGGCCGAGAACUUCGGCUGAGGGUAUUUUAUACCCAACACCAGUCCCCCUACUUUCGAGUUUGAAUUUCGAAUGAAAGAAGUACAGAGAGACUGGCACAACCGAAGUUGUCCCCUCG
rnacentral:lncRNA from 1 species